AUGAGGUGUAAUGGCGCCGGGAUGCGCUCUCCUCUUCUCAUUUGCCAAUUUAUUGCAGAUCCCUCCUCAAAAAAGUUUUGGGACUAACUCAGCCCCAUGGAGAUCAAGGUGAAUUAGAAAAACAACAAAACAAAACAAGAUUCAUUUUAACAUCUCAUUUUUCUAUCUCCAACUUUCCCUCCCCUCCUCCCACCCCAGGAAGAAAAGACUACGUUUGUUUCUGGUGAUACAUUCAUUGUAGGUGGGUGGGUGACUUCUAGAAGAGGAAAAUCAAGAAGAUUUGGAGAAGGAGUCUUGGAAGCUCUGGUGAAGUUUUCCAAAACUGGGAAGGACAGAGCCACAGGUCUGCCUGUUCUUUUGCUUUGCCAUUUGUGUGGAUACCUAGUAGAGCAAUUUGGGUGCCAUUCUUUGAGGAAUCCAUUGGAUCUGUCAGAAAGCUGAGUCUGCUCAGCCUGUGUUAGUGGAGAAGAGGGAAGGAAACUGGCUGGAGGCCGCUGGACCCACAGAGGACAAUAGACAAUCUCCUGCUAGAAAUGACAAACCAGUAUCUUGAGUAAAAUAAUGACUUGGACUGUAAGAAAUUAAUUAGAAAACAUCUGUGCAAUGUAGUGGAAGAAAAAGAAAAUGAGACCCAGAAGACCCAAAUCACAAAUCAAAAGGACCUCACAGAAGAUUCUACAAUUGAGAUUAUUUAUCCUGGGAUGCCCACUGGAUCCAAAGAGAGAAACUCUAUAGAAUUAUGAUCUAGGUUUGACUGACUCCUGGCAAGAAGCCCUACCCGCCAGCCAAUUUGGAUGAGCUCUUAUGCUCCAGAUCCAUCAUGAGAAGAACAUGCCCUGGAUUCCUGCUAUCCCUUUAGCCAUGGCUCCAAAAUUAACACACACAAGGAAGACCUGAGGUCAAUCCACAGCCUGGAUUCAAGUCACCUAAUACAUAGGAGAAUCAGAGCUACCCAGCCACACUCAAUCUACGUUAACUGAACCUCAGCUGACCUGCAGAUUUAUGAGUAUGAGAAUAAAGGCUUGUUAAUGUA
rnacentral:lncRNA from 1 species